rnacentral:lncRNA from 1 species
GUGACUGAGAGGGAGAAGAAAUUGCUGGGCGUCCAUGGGCAGGGGAGGAUGAGCGGGAAGCAGCAGAGAAGAUGGUGUAGUGCCCAUUGGAUGGAAAAUUGUGGCUGUUUUGAUGGUUAGAGGUUAGCAUGCCCUUCUGAAUAACUACCCCCAGUCAGCACAUGACUGAGGGCCGCCCUGUUGAGACUGUGGGAAUCUCUAGUCAAACGUUUGCUGCGUAGCUCAGAGGCUUGAUUUCACACUGUUGAGAGCACUGCCCUGUUCUCUAGGUGUGGGGUAGCCCCUGCAGUGACAACCCGAAGGAACACAAAUACACAGAACCGGGCACAGUAAUGAACUUGAAGCAUAGUCAAAGACGCCGUGAGGAUGCAGGAAGCCUCUCUGCCCCCAGUCCCAAGAAUAUGGACAUACUGUGUUCAGAAAAGUGUUCAAUUUCUACACUUCCUGCCCUGGGUAUUUGAGCAUCUAUUUCCUAGUUGAAAACCCAGUAGCCUCCUCACCAGCUUCAGCAUCCAGAUAUGAUGUGCUUGCAUUCUUCUGGUCUUCUUGUAGCCUGAACUCAUUCCACCUCCCCACAACGCCAACAUUUCACUUCUUUUAUUUGGAGGAGGACGUUUGGAAGUUGUGUUUCUGGAAAUGUUUUGUAUUUAUUUUCCCAGUAAACUUAAGAAAACUUAAAAGUAAUUAAAUGUUUUUUUCCUUUUGAAAAGACA